CCUGCUUGUAGUCAACUUUGAGCUUCAGCAACAACUGUACAGCAGCAUCGAUAUCAGCCUGUAAUCCAAAACAGAAUACAUGAUUCAGGGUUUGGACUGUCUCGUCUCCCUGACAGUUUGUCAUCUUCAACCUGGUCAAGACCCAUUAGGAGAGAUACAAGUCUAUGUGACACAAUUUUACAUGCAGUAGCUUACUUCAUGUAUGUUAGCUUUUUAACCAAUGCAAUCGCAUAUUUGCGAUCUAGCUAGAUAGCAUGUCUAGCUGAUUCAUAACGUCGUAAGGAGUGCAUAGUUACUAGUAGUAUACCAUAAGACUGCAUUUUGCCUGGUAAAAUAUAUUCCAGGUUUUUUAGUUUCUUUGCCUCGGGAAAGUAGCUAGCUAUCUAAUGUAUGAGCCGUGUAUAUCAACAAAACACACAUGGCUGUCAAGGAUUGUUUUUGAAGUUCACGUACAUAGCUAAUGAACAGCAAUAUCUAGCUGUCUGGUUUUGUUAUGGUCCAUGAGGCCACCUUAACAGAAAGGAUGGUUCAAGGCGCAUAUUGUAUGCUGUGAUUCAAGAACCAAUCUCUACUGCAUUAGCUCGCCUGGGUGGUUAUGCCAUUGUUUCCCAUAGCGUUGCCUCUGUUCUGAUCUACAACUAUGACAGUGGCUUUCGGUUGACCGGACAUGUUUAUCAAAUAAACACGGGUACAUCAAAAGGAAAUAUGCCAAAUGUUCACAAAUAAUUCACAUACACGUACUGUUCAAAUGUUAUGAAGCUGCCAAUCCAGUCAUGACCUUUCGUGUUGGUGGAAAUGUAUCCACUGAGAAACAAGUACUUGAUCUAUAUAGUUCCACUAUGCAUUUAUGUACACUGCUCAAAAAAAUAAAGGGAACACUAAAAUAACA